rnacentral:rRNA from 1 species
UACGUAGGGUGCAAGCGUUGUCCGGAAUUAUUGGGCGUAAAGAGCUCGUAGGCGGUUUGUUGCGUCGGCUGUGAAAUCCCUAGGCUCAACCUAGGAACUGCGUCUGAUACUGGAUGGCUUGAAUCCGGGAGAGGGAUGCAGAAUUCCAGGUGUAGCGGUGAAAUGCGUAGAUAUCUGGAGGAAUACCGGUGGCGAAGGCGGCAUCCUGGACCGGCAUUGACGCUGAGGAGCGAAAGCCAGGGGAGCAAACGGG